GUAGGGGGCAAGCGUUAUCCGGAUUCAUUGGGCGUAAAGGGCUCGUAGGCGGGGCAUCAAGUCAAGUGUGAAAGCUUUCGGCUUAACCGAGAGAGGUCAUUUGAAACUGGUGUUCUUGAGGGCAGGAGAGGGAGGUGGAAUUCCCGGUGGAGCGGUGGAAUGCGUAGAGAUCGGGAGGAACACCAGUGGCGAAGGCGGCCUCCUGGCCUGUGCCUGACGCUGAGGAGCGAAAGCUAGGGUAGCAAACGGGGAUUAGAGACCCCGGUAGUCCUAGCUGUAAACGAUGGAUACUAGGUGUUGGGGGUAUUGACCCCCCCCCCCAGUGUCACAGCUAACGCAUUAAGUAUCCCGCCUGGGGAUUACGGUCGCAAGGCUA
rnacentral:rRNA from 1 species